AACGACGGUAUACAGAGCUAGUUCACAACAACGACACCAUACAGAGCUAGUUCACAACAACGACACCAAACAGAGCUAGUUCACAACUACGACGGCACAUCAACGCCUGUGUCAUCCGUGUUCUAUGUUUGGUUUAUGUUAAAAACAUUUAUUGCGAGAUAGAAGGCCAUACAUAUUUAACUUGUACAACGAUAUGCAUAUCUACCGUAUAACCUGAAAUAGAUCAGCUUGAACUGUUUGAAGAGACUAUGUAUACUAGUACUACUAACAGCAGUAGUACAGUAGUACAAUAUAAUUACUGUAGGACUAACAGUGAGCAGCAGUACUGUAGGACUAACAGUGAACAGCAGUACACACACCCAGCAGUACACACACCCAAACCUUGCAUGUGUAUUUGCGUGUGCGUUGCGUGCAGGAAAGGAUAACCAAACGCAUGCAGGAGUGAUGGAGGGAAAGAGUACACAGAAUGGAACCCUGCGGAUCUUUCCUAAGGGAGAGUCUGAUUGGGUUGAUUAAACAGGUUUAGACUACAGGUCUCUGUUAGGACCAUUGGACUGCUACGCCAGAAAACCCCCAGGGGGUUUAUACUAGAGGAGGAUCGUUGGGGCGUGUCUACUGUAUGUGUGUGUGUCUGCAGAGAAGGGGUCCAUUCAUCCGUCCUAAGGAGAGGACGAAGUGGUCUGAACGUGGCUGUACUCUUUGGAGACAUUCUGGAACUGCGAGGUUAUUCUGGACCUGAGAGGGGAUUCUAGAACUGAGGGGAUUCCAGAACUGAGAGGGGAUUCCAGAACUGAGAGGUUAUUCUGGACCUGAGAGGGGAUUCCAGAACUGAGAGGUUAUUCUGGACCUGAGAGGAGAUUCUAGAACUGAGGGGAUUCCAGAACUGAGAUUAAAACACAUUGUUCGAACAACUAUCUCAAAACUCACAGAGACAGAACAAGAAUACAGCUAUCCCUCCAUCUGACAUAUAGGACAGUUAAAAAGGAUAAGGAUGCAUCACCCAGUUCUUUGUGCCCUCGCCACAUACUUUCUCUCUCACGCUGUCCAUUUAGUGCAGUGGUGAUGCUGCAGCCUUUUCCUCUCCUUUACCUUCCUUCUAUUCUUCUCCUCCCUAGCUGGAAGUCAUGCUCUGUCUCUCUCUGCCCAUAGUGCAGCCCCUCUCUACCGUCUGAGCUUCAGGUUUACAGACCACACAGCCUGAAUGUCAAUGAUUGCUAGGAAGGAAAUGAAGGAUGCCGUGUUGGCAUUACGUCCAAGAGCGCAGCGCUCAAAUUCCUCCCCCUUUUCCUCCCACUUUUACAAAGGAGUAUUUUCUUUCAUCCCUUCUCUGCGUUGUGCAUCCAUCCAUAUAUCCAGACCAACCAUCCAUGUUACAAGUACAAUAGGAUGAUGGAUAGUGUGUGUGUGAAUGUCUGAGUGUGUACGUACAGGAGAGGAUAGUGGACUCUGGAUCCACUAAGACUGUGAAUUGAAUACUGAUGCUAACCCAUCCUUCUUUCUCACACUCCUGGUACCCUGUAUAGAAUGGACAGUGGAUCCGUUGGUUCUGCGUUCUGUUGCUGUGUUCUAAUGUUCUAAGACUCCUUUCACCACACGAUUCCGGAACGUUUUCCUAACUGCUCCCGGCACUGAGAGUAGGGCUGUGCCUCUGUGGCUCUCAAUCAGAAGGAGAAAACACAAAGCCUGGUGCUAUUGAGCUAGAGCGCCCCUUAUGGACGAAGACAGGGAGAACCCCCUGUUCAAACCUUACUCUGUCCUUCCAGCAACAUGGACAAAGACAGGGAGAACCCCCCUGUUCAAAACUUACUCUGUCCUUCCAGCAACAUGGACAAAGACWGGGAGAACCCCCCUGUUCAAAACUUACUCUGUCCKUCCAGCAACAUGGACAAAGACKGGGAGAACCCCCCUGUUCAAAACUUACUCUGUCCRUCCAGCAACAUGGACAAAGACAGGGAGAACCCCCCUGUUCAAACUCUGCUCUGUCCCUCCAGCAACAACACCGAGACAGAACGACUCCGGAUGACCGACUAUCUGGGCACUCUUUUUCUUACGUCGUUCCUUCAGGAAAAACCAAACAACAACUUAUAAAGACGUAAGAAGAAGAAGAAAAAUGAAAAAAGUAAAUUAUAACGUUACUAAUCCAUAGUCAAGUGACACUUGUUUAAAAUAUUUAGUGAAUGGAACUAUAUUCAAAACAACUACGAAGAAACUCAGUGUUGGUUUGCCUUGUAUUCUGGAGCCUCUGUGUUUUCAGCACAGAAAUAGAAUGACUAGAAUGGGAUUCCCUAUUCAAGUCAAUGAGGCCAUAAUGUCAAACUGCCAUUGUCCGAGGUUCUAUGCACCUUCUGCUCAUUCUAAUUCUAUGGUUUUCAGCUACCUUGGUAUUACACUCCCUUAGAGGUAUGCAGAGUUUUUACUCUUUCUGCAGUACUGUGGUUAUUACGGUAAUACUGUAUACUAUGGUUACUAUUGUCAUAUACUGUGCUUAUUACGGUAAUACUGUAUACUAUGGUUACAAGUGUCAUAAACUGUGGUUAUUACGGUAAUACUGUAUACUGUGGUUACUACUAUCAUCUACUGUGCUAAUUACAGUUAUUACGGUAA